rnacentral:lncRNA from 1 species
ACAGGACCCAGCGCUUCCCUUUGUGAAACUGCAGAAUAAGCUGCCCUGGGGGGAGAACCCAGGUGAGCCAGCUGCGGAAGGAGACAGAAACCUUGGCAUAAACUUUUUACUUUGUGAGUGUAGAGGGCUGAUUGGAAGAAGCGACCAGGGAGUAGCUUCUUCUAAGUUCUUCUCAAUUCCCAGGGAGUAGAGUUUCUGUGAAGCGGCACAAUUCACCAGCCAGAAGUCUCUGCUCCAGCUGCCAGUUGUCAAUCUCAAUGUGCUUCUGAAAAUGAGGCCAGAACCUACGUUAAUGAAGCCUGAUUGUCUUCGAAUUAUUGUUGGAUUAAUUAGCAGCUUUGCCAGUGGUCCGCAUGUGCAGGGCUUGCUUCUCAUCGUAGUUUGGGUUCCUCAACUACCACUACCAGCAUUAAAAUGGAUUCUGGUGCCAGUAAUUAAUUUUGGAGAUGGGGUACCCAUGAAAAUGCACUCAGAUCUUAUGCUCCAGGAAGCAUCCUUGACAACCCCGCCAUCCUACCAUCAUGGAUCCACCGUCCACUGUGAUGAUCUGCCAUCACGUUCAUGUGAAAGCCCUGCUUCCCAUGGGCUGCUCCCUGUGAGGGACUGAGCACAGUGAGGCCACAGGGAGCCCACCAAGGCAGGCCCAUUCCUGGUAGAUGUGGGGGCCCUCUAACAGGUGGCUUUGACUUGAGAACCUCCCCUUACCCUGGACAACCUUAUCCUGGAGUUGUGCCCCAAUCCAUACCCUUUCCUGUCCAAUUAUCCCUCCUUCUCUCUCUCCUUCACAGCAGAAACCCACCUUCCCCAGCCUUCACAAAUGUUUCUCCCAAGAAAGCUUGUACUUGUCUAAUCUUACCUUGGCACCUGCUUCCCAAGGCAUAGAACUCACACAAGAGGGAGUCUUGGGAUGCACGAGUGGAGCAGUGGGGAAGGUGAGAUGGAGACAGGAGAAAAGGUAAGAAAAAGGGCACAAAUGAACAGGUGAUCACUGUGGGCAAGUCACGCU